rnacentral:rRNA from 1 species
GACGAACGCUGGCGGCGUGCUUAACACAUGCAAGUCGAACGGAAAGGCCCUGCUUUUGUGGGGUGCUCGAGUGGCGAACGGGUGAGUAACACGUGAGUAACCUGCCCUUGACUUUGGGAUAACUUCAGGAAACUGGGGCUAAUACCGGAUAGGAGCUCCUGCUGCAUGGUGGGGGUUGGAAAGUUUCGGCGGUUGGGGAUGGACUCGCGGCUUAUCAGCUUGUUGGUGGGGUAGUGGCUUACCAAGGCUUUGACGGGUAGCCGGCCUGAGAGGGCGACCGGCCACAUUGGGACUGAGAUACGGCCCAGACUCCUACGGGAGGCAGCAGUGGGGAAUAUUGCACAAUGGGCGGAAGCCUGAUGCAGCAACGCCGCGUGCGGGAUGACGGCCUUCGGGUUGUAAACCGCUUUCGCCUGUGACGAAGCGUGAGUGACGGUAAUGGGUAAAGAAGCACCGGCUAACUACGUGCCAGCAGCCGCGGUGAUACGUAGGGUGCGAGCGUUGUCCGGAUUUAUUGGGCGUAAAGGGCUCGUAGGUGGUUGAUCGCGUCGGAAGUGUAAUCUUGGGGCUUAACCCUGAGCGUGCUUUCGAUACGGGUUGACUUGAGGAAGGUAGGGGAGAAUGGAAUUCCUGGUGGAGCGGUGGAAUGCGCAGAUAUCAGGAGGAACACCAGUGGCGAAGGCGGUUCUCUGGGCCUUUCCUGACGCUGAGGAGCGAAAGCGUGGGGAGCGAACAGGCUUAGAUACCCUGGUAGUCCACGCUGUAAACGGUGGGUACUAGGUGUGGGGUCCAUUCCACGGGUUCCGUGCCGUAGCUAACGCUUUAAGUACCCCGCCUGGGGAGUACGGCCGCAAGGCUAAAACUCAAAGGAAUUGACGGGGCCCCGCACAAGCGGCGGAGCAUGCGGAUUAAUUCGAUGCAACGCGUAGAACCUUACCUGGGUUUGACAUGGAUCGGGAGUGCUCAGAGAUGGGUGUGCCUCUUUUGGGGUCGGUUCACAGGUGGUGCAUGCCUGUCGUCAGCUCGUGUCGUGAGAUGUUGGGUUAAGUCCCGCAACGAGCGCAACCCUUGUUCACUGUUGCCAGCACGUUAUGGUGGGGACUCAGUGGAGACCGCCGGGGUCAACUCGGAGGAAGGUGGGGAUGACGUCAAGUCCUCAUGCCCCUUAUGUCCAGGGCUUCACGCACGCUACAAUGGCUGGUACAGAGAGUGGCGAGCCUGUGAGGGUGAGCGAAUCUCGGAAAGCCGGUCUCAGUUCGGAUUGGGGUCUGCAACUCGACCUCAUGAAGUCGGAGUCGCUAGUAAUCGCAGAUCAGCAACGCUGCGGUGAAUACGUUCCCGGGGCU